GACGAACGCUGGCGGCGUGCUUAACACAUGCAAGUCGAGCGGUAAGGCCCUUUCGGGGGUACGACGAGCGGCGAACGGGUGAGUAACACGUGGGUGACCUGCCCUCAGCUCUGGGAUAAGCCUGGGAAACUGGGUCUAAUACCGGAUAUGACUCCAUGACGCAUGUUGUGGGGUGGAAAGCCUUGUGCGGCUGAGGAUGGGCCCGCGGCCUAUCAGCUUGUUGGUGGGGGGACGGCCUACCAAGGCGACGACGGGUAGCCGGCCUGAGAGGGCGGACCGGCCACACUGGGACUGAGACACGGCCCAGACUCCUACGGGAGGCAGCAGUGGGGAAUCUUGCGCAAUGGGCGAAAGCCUGACGCAGCGACGCCGCGUGAGGGAUGACGGCCU
rnacentral:rRNA from 1 species